AUGGACAUCAUGCUUGCAAGAGCUGAAACUCUCACCCAGAACUGCCUUUUCAACCACAUGUCCUCUGUCUCCGGGGGAGGCAGUGGGGAAUAUCGGCCGUCUGAAGUAGAGUCCAGAAGCCACAGAAGAUGCCUGAAGCACCUGCUAGGGCCACACGCUGUGUUGGGUGCAGGAGAUCCACACCGAAGAGAGGCCCUCCUGGCCCCGUGGAGCUCUGUGUGUACAAGGCUGGCGAGGCUGGGGUAUCUCUUCCCGUUUCUGCUGGAAGAUGCUAUGGAUGCAUGGCCUUCUAUUAUGGCUCGGGAGCCCACCCCACUUUUGUGGAGCACGGGGAUGAUUCUUUCAGGCUUUCCCAGAACAAGCCACCCCCCGACCCUCCACAAAGCCGUCUUGCUUUGGCCACACGUGCGUGGACGUCUGCAGUGUCUCACUGUGAGCGACACUGAGGGCUGGAGCCCGGGGCAAAAUCACCGUUCAGAAGGAUUUUCAGGCAGAUGACUCCCUUUUUCACUUGUGGGGACAAAUUGCUUAUUUAUGGCCUUUUCCUUCAGAGAUUAGAUAGCCUAGGUUUGGGGGAGCUUCCCGUAAGUUGCAGUGCCUGCCCUACCCCGGAACAGUCCUCGCCACCUGCACAGCACCCACUGGCCUUCGAAGACCCCACAGCAUUACAAGGAUGUCAUCAAACAGAAAGACUGAGGAGCUCAUAAAACCGCUCGUGCUGCCCUUAUCUGCAGCAUUUGUGACGAGGACACAUCACUCCUUCGUUUCUGGAUUCAUAUUUGUGUCUCUGAUUCUAAUUAAUCCAGCUUAACAAGACUGCCUGAUUUUAGCUAAAAAUAAAGGUUUAC
rnacentral:lncRNA from 1 species